GCUUCAUUAGCUUAAUUGGCAGAGCUCAGGUUUUGUAAGCCUUGAGGUGUAGGUUCAAGUCCUACAUGAAGCA
rnacentral:tRNA from 1 species